GGGGAUGUAGCUCAAUUGGUAGAGUACAAAGUAUGCUUCUUUGAGGUAUGGGGUUUGAUUCCUCGCGUCUCCA
rnacentral:tRNA from 1 species